GCCAUUUUGAAACGAACAGACUCCAAAAGCACGCUCCACUGGGCCUGCCCCUGCGAUCUUAAAACAGAUGUCCGUGAAAUGUGACCCAUGAAUAGCAGUUAUCUGGAGAGAGAGCUCUGAAGCUGAUGAAACCAUUAGAGCCACUGAAGGCACCUGGUAAAUGCGAUGCGGGGAGUACAGAAGAGAGAAUCAGAAACACACCGGCACUCUCAUUCCCAUGAGGCCACUUACAGUGGCCUAAAAACAAGAACGUCUGCCCUCUUCCUUCUUAACCAAGACUGAGAUGAGGACAAGUCAGACCCUUCAGACCCAUCGUUUCAGGGACCAGCAGCUCCAGCCUGAAUGAGAAGCACGUCCUCCUGGGAGUUACGUCAGCAGCCUGACCUUCCAUCUUCCUCCUCUAAAGAAGCGUCCCUGCCACCCUGAGCACGAAGCCCUCGGGUUCCUAAAGGCCGAGGCGCUUCUUCUCAUUUACUUCCCUUGAGGAAGAAAGACCAGCCCAUCCACCCUCAUUUCCCACCGAAGGGCAUCGCAAAUAAAGUUUGCCCACGCAACCAGGCCACCACCAUUAAUUUCUCUCUGCCCUGCUCUUACAUUCUCCUCAAGGUUUUCAGUCCCCUAGAGAGGCUCCCUUCCCUCUUUUCUUUCCUUCCUCCAGCCCCCCUUUUCACCUCCCUCCACCAUUGUUUGAGGUUAAGAAGCAUGCUACGGUGUUCUAUAAAUCACUUGGCAAGAGUAGACGACAAAAGCAAAAUAUAAUUCAGAUUAAAGUCAUCCUCCCGCUGAAAUGAUAGUUUCUUAAAUAAAUGGCGAUGCUGCCUAUCAAUCUUGCUGGCAACUGGUCCUCUCAUAUUCAUCUUUCUGGGGGUGAUUUAGGAUCCACCUGGGUCCUCCGAGAAGAUUCUCCCAUCAUUUCCUUCCCGUCUCUCUGGAUCUUGCUGCUGGGCUUGGCGCAGUUGACAAAUUCUCCAAGUAAUCCCUCAAAAGAUUGGAGAAAUGCUCCGAACGCUCCAUUAAACUUAUUUUCCAUGCUUUAAGAGACCCAAAACUAUGUCCAAUAAAUAAGUGUUCCCUGUGA
rnacentral:lncRNA from 1 species